ACUCCUACGGGAGGCAGCAGUAAGGAAUAUUGGACAAUGCCCGCAAGGGUGAUCCAGCCAUGCCGCGUGCAGGAAGACGGCCCUAUGGGUUGUAAACUGCUUUUACAUCGGAGAAAACCCCAGUACGUGUACUGGGCUGAUAGUAUGGUGAGAAUAAGCAUCGGCUAACUUCGUGCCAGCAGCCGCGGUAAU
rnacentral:rRNA from 1 species